AGUUUUGUUCUCAGGUUGGCGUGGCCGCCCGCGCGGAGCCUUCUGCUUGGUUAUAUUUGCGUUCCUCGGGCCGGCCCCGCGUGCUGAGUGGUGCGAGCGGGUAUCACGGCCCCGAGGGGGCUACGUCAGACCCAUUUUCCCGGCGGGAAAACCGACUCUGGCUCCGGCUCUGGGUCAGAGAGCCCCGCGGGGAGUCUCAGCGGUGCCUUUGCCGACUUGAGUCUCCGUCUCGGCAUCUGUGAAUUUGGACCUGACUUUGGACAGAACUCAGGCCAGAUCUGGCUUCCUGAUUCUUAGUAGUCCGUGUCUACAUUUUAGUAAAAAGUGACCCCGCCUAGGAUCGGGCGCCGUGGCUCC
rnacentral:lncRNA from 1 species